rnacentral:tRNA from 1 species
GCCGCGGUAGCUCAGUUUGGGAGAGCGCCAGACUGAAGAUCUGGGUGUCGAGGGUUCAAGUCCCUCCCGCGGCA